GCUGUCAACCCAGAAUUCCAUAUGCAGUAAAAAUAUCCUUCAGGAAUGAAGGUGAAAUCAAGACAUUGUCAGAUGCAGGAAAACUAAGAGAAUGUGUUGCCAGCAGACCUGCUUUAAAAGAAUCUCUAAAGGAAGCACUUCAGACAGAAGGGAAAUGAUACCAGAGGAGACCGGGAACACUAAGAACCAGAAUGGCAAACCUCCGUGUAAAUUUCUUAACAGACUGCUCAUCUCCUCUAAGUUCUUUCAAACGCAUUUGAGAGUCUAAAGCAAAAAUUAAAACACUGCCUCUUAGGGUUUUGAAGGUAUGUACAUGUACCAUCUCAGAUGACUGGAACAUAAAGAGAUCUACGGAGCGACAGGGUUUCUGCGUUCUACUUGAAGUGGUGCAAUACUGACUCAGCUCAAGUUUUAAGUCACUGUCGGUUUUCAAAAUCAACGACGCCUGGCCAGCCACCACACGAAUCACAUUUCAGAUACAACCUGGUCUAACUGUCACAACAACCCAGGAAGCAGGCUCUUGGUGCCCCCAUUUCACGAGAAGAGGAAACCACCGUGCAAGGAGAUUACGUAGCACAGCCAAGCCACGCCUCAUUAGCGCAGAUGGGAAACCUGGAGCCAGACUUCCCAGCUCCAGAGUCAUUUUGUUCAAUCAGGCUGCUACCCUUUCAGUGACCUGUAUCCCGCUGCUAAGGGGUGGUUCUGCUACGCUACUCACCAUUCAACAAUCUAGCCAUUAUGUCAUGUUUUUGCCAUCUGAGAUCCAGAAGAUGAAAAAAGGCAACAGGAGAAGGCACACGGGAGAGUUACCGACUUCCUCCCUGGUGGGGGUGGCAAUCAUUGUUCCCUGGGGGGGCAUAAAUGGUCAUCCUCCUCUUCAAGGGCUUAAAACAGAACCAAUGGGGUAAAGGGAAGUUGACUUCUCAAAACAAUCACUGAAGUCAUUAAAGCUUUUGUUUUGAAAUAAAUUUGUCACAUAUAUAACAA